rnacentral:tRNA from 1 species
GGGGGUGUAGUUAAGUGGUAUAACAUUGGUCUCCAAAACCAAAGUUGUGGGUUCGAUUCCUACCACCCCUGCCA